rnacentral:rRNA from 1 species
CGAUGAUCCGGUGCUUGCACCGGGGAUUAGUGGCGAACGGGUGAGUAACACGUGAGUAACCUGCCCUUGACUCUGGGAUAAGCCUGGGAAACCGGGUCUAAUACCGGAUACGACCUGUCACCGCAUGGUGGUUGGUGGAAAGAUUUUUUGGUUUUGGAUGGACUCGCGGCCUAUCAGCUUGUUGGUGAGGUAAUGGCUCACCAAGGCGACGACGGGUAGCCGGCCUGAGAGGGUGACAAGCCACACUGGGACUGAGACACGGCCCAGACUCCUACGG